rnacentral:lncRNA from 1 species
AUUAUCUCAGUCUUAUCAAGGCUACACAUGAAAAACAUCACAUCAUAAUGAAUGGUUGCUGAGAGCCAUAGCCGAGUCUGUAUGGCCCCUGGCAUUUUGCCAACAGUACUGAUUGACAGGCAAGGCAUUACUAUCCGCCUGGGCGGCUACUUUGGAGUUCUUGUGGGGAUUCCCGGGGAUUCCCCGAGAGUUCCCAUUGGUUGGGGAAGUGCAGGAGGAGGGAUUUCUGGGAAAGAUUUUUCCGGCUGGGGGUUCCUGGACGAGCAGCAUCGUGUUCGGGAGAAUUCCCCUGGAGCAUGGGUGAAGUGUUUUCUUGCAAACACUUUUCGAAAUAAAGUUUGUUCCUGCUUCAGUGGCUCGUGAUUUGUGCCCAGCCAGACUGCAGCAGAUGGUGGCCCGUUACAGGGAGCCCCGGGACACUCGGGGGUAAGUGAUGAAAAAAAGCUGCCCGUCCAUAGAUAGGACGGGAGCAAUCUGCUCGUCCCUAGGCAGAUAGGGCGAGAGGAAAAAUGGCCAUUUCGAGAAAAUGGAGAAGAUUGAUACAGUAUGUUUGUGUCUUGUUUUGUCUCAGUGUAUUGUAUUGUCUUUAUGAUGAAAAUAUGGAAGGGGUGAGAAGUAAAUUACUAAGGGAAAGAGGCACCCCAGUGGAACCAAGAAUAGUUAGGGCAUGUGUUGAUGGAAGCCCAGGAACUCUAGUCAGAAAGAAAAAGAAAGUUCAGAAGAAGAAAGAUUAUCAGGAAAAAAGUUGCAGCCAAAGGCUAUUACUGAAUACUUUUUGUUACCGGAGGGUGCAUGAAUAGGCGCUAAAGUGGCUGCCACGUGCGCAUGCCGGUCAUGAUGCAGCAAGGAGAUUCCAAGCAGCGGCAGCUGGCUAUUCCCCGCCCUCCGCCUGGGGAGCGGGGUGCCACUGCGAGAGCCCAAAUCCAGACCUGACCCAGAGGCACAGUCUCGAAGGCUCUUGCUCUGUGCCCAGUAGCAGUUUGAGUCUGGAACACUCCCCAGGGUCAUCUGGGGCUGCCCUGGACGCUAUAGCUGGCAGAAGAUGCUACCAGCAUCCCUGAAGUUUGGUCAUUUUCAAUGCAAAUAAAUAAGCUACAAUGGUUCUCCCAUACCUGGAGGCUAAUGAGUAAUGAACACCAUUAAGGUCUAUUUCAAAUGUAAAAAACCUUGAGAUAAUGUACUAAAUUGUUCAGAAGGUUGUUUUCUUAGUGGAAUGCUACAGGAUUUUCUUUAGCCAUCCAGAGUUCCUGCCUUCAUCCCAGUGCUGGUGAAGACAAAGGUGGAAGAAUUUCCAGUGUUGCUGACAACUGGACGAAACUUCGGCUGAAAAACGGACGAGACUUCGGAGCUGUUGCUGUUUCUGCUGCUACAGCUUAGGCUAGCUGCCUACAGAACUUACCUGGACUGUGAUUUAAGCUAGCUGCCUGCAGAACUUACCUGGACUGUGAUUUACGCUAGCUGCCUGCAGAACUUACCUGGACUGUGAUUUACCUGGACUGUGAGUUAAUCUAUUGAGACACUGCUUUACCUGGACUGAGACAACAAACUGUAAUCUACAGCAAAUUGUAACUCAGUAUCUUUGCUAACAGUGUCAUUGCUGGUAUAAUUUGUCCAAGGGCUUCUUGUAUGGAGCCAUCAAUUGGCUUGGUAUUGUGGCAUUUUGUAUCCUCCCCUUCUGCUUGUAGCAGAUUAUUUAUGGUGUUUGUGUAAAAACCACUAUGGUGGUUAUUUAAAUUAAACAAAAGGGGGAAAUGUUAGAGUCUGUAAAGAAGUCAGGAUGGCGCCUGGCAAAUGUUAGAGUCUGUAAACAAGUCUGGAUGGCGCCUGGUAUUUUGCCAGGGGGAGUGGUUUGUGAGGUGGUGCCAGCGAGCCAUUAAGUGUGGAGAUUUCUUAUUGGUUGACUGCUGUAUCUAGUUUAUGUUAAUUAAGAUAAGCUGUGUGGAAUGUAUAAAUACCCCUCCUGUCCUACAAUAAACGGCUCCCAC